AUUGAACGCUGGCGGCAGGCUUAACACAUGCUAGUCGAACGAUGACUCUCUAGCUUGCUAGAGAAGAUUAGUGGCGGACGGGUGAGUAACAUUUAGGAAUCUGCCUAGUAGUGGGGGAUAGCUCGGGGAAACUCGAAUUAAUACCGCAUACGACCUACGGGUGAGAGGGGGCGCAAGCUCUUGCUAUUAGAUGAGCCUAAAUCAGAUUAGCUAGUUGGUGGGGUAAAGGCCCACCAAGGCGACGAUCUGUAACUGGUCUGAGAGGAUGAUCAGUCACACCGGAACUGAGACACGGUCCGGACUCCUACGGGAGGCAGCAGUGGGGAAUAUUGGACAAUGGGGGCAACCCUGAUCCAGCCAUGCCGCGUGUGUGAAGAAGGCCUUUUGGUUGUAAAGCACUUUAAGCAGGGAGGAGAGGCUAAUGGUUAAUACCCAUUAGAUUAGACGUUACCUGCAGAAUAAGCACCGGCUAACUCUGUGCCGGCAGCCGCGGUAAUACAGAGGGUGCGAGCGUUAAUCGGAAUUACUGGGCGUAAAGCGAGUGUAGGUGGCUCAUUAAGUCACAUGUGAAAUCCCCGGGCUUAACCUGGGAACUGCAUGUGAUACUGGUGGUGCUAGAAUAUGUGAGAGGGAAGUAGAAUUCCAGGUGUAGCGGUGAAAUGCGUAGAGAUCUGGAGGAAUACCGAUGGCGAAGGCAGCUUCCUGGCAUAAUAUUGACACUGAGAUUCGAAAGCGUGGGUAGCAAACAGGAUUAGAUACCCUGGUAGUCCACGCCGUAAACGAUGUCUACUAGCCGUUGGGGUCCUUGAGACUUUAGUGGCGCAGUUAACGCGAUAAGUAGACCGCCUGGGGAGUACGGCCGCAAGGUUAAAACUCAAAUGAAUUGACGGGGGCCCGCACAAGCGGUGGAGCAUGUGGUUUAAUUCGAUGCAACGCGAAGAACCUUACCUGGUCUUGACAUAGUGAGAAUCCUGCAGAGAUGCGGGAGUGCCUUCGGGAAUUCACAUACAGGUGCUGCAUGGCUGUCGUCAGCUCGUGUCGUGAGAUGUUGGGUUAAGUCCCGCAACGAGCGCAACCCUUUUCCUUAUUUGCCAGCGGGUUAAGCCGGGAACUUUAAGGAUACUGCCAGUGACAAACUGGAGGAAGGCGGGGACGACGUCAAGUCAUCAUGGCCCUUACGACCAGGGCUACACACGUGCUACAAUGGUAGGUACAGAGGGUUGCUACACAGCGAUGUGAUGCUAAUCUCAAAAAGCCUAUCGUAGUCCGGAUUGGAGUCUGCAACUCGACUCCAUGAAGUCGGAAUCGCUAGUAAUCGCAGAUCAGAAUGCUGCGGUGAAUACGUUCCCGGGCCU
rnacentral:rRNA from 1 species